GGAAGUGCUAGAUGGCAAAUUAGUUAGCCAUAGGAUGCCCCUAGUGCUAGCCAUAGGAUGAGGUCAAAGAAGUAAAAUUUUAGAUCUCAAGCGAGCUCCUGCAUUGGGAUCUAAGGUAGAAAAGGAAAAGAUAUUUUCAUUGAAUGUAACAUCCCUAAAGAUGUAAACUUGUCCAGACGAGACAUCCAAACACUUGAAAUCUUUAUGAAGCAUGUUGUAACCAAGGAAGACACAUUUUUUAAUCUGAACUGAAGUUUAUGGGAAUUAUAGGGAUGAAGAUUAGACCAAUAGGCACAACAAAAAGUACGUAAGGCAGAAUAGUCUGGCUUUUGAUGAAAUAAGUGCUCUAAAGGCAUGACAUGAUUAAUGAAUUUACUAGGGAGCCGAUUAAUGAGAUAUGUGGCGGCUAGGAAUGCUUCGUCCUAGAAUUUCAGCAGCAUCGCGAUGUGAGAAAGGAGAGCUAGACUGACUUCGACAAUGUGUUGAUGUUUUUGCUAGCAGCACCAUUCUGCUGGUGCGCAUGAGGGUAGGAAACGAGAUGAGAAACACCAAUUUUGGUAAAAAAAAAUUUAAUUUUUGAUAUUCGCCGCCCCAAUCUGUUUGCACAGCUUUAAUUUUCCUAUCAAACAAUCUCUCCACUAGGUUCUGAAAAUCAUGAAAUUUCUGAAAAACUUCUGAUUUGUACUUAAUGAGAUAGAUCUAAGUAAAUUUGCUAUAAUUAUCAAUGAAACUAACAUAAUACUGUUUUCUGCCAACAGACUCAAGAGCAGGACCCCAAACAUCUGAAAACACAAGAUCUAAAGGAGCGCUAGAUUCACUUAUGGAUUUAGGAUAGGGAAUCUGAUGCGCCUUGGCCUGCUGGCACGCAUUGCACACAGACUCAUGAUUAGACUCAAGGAUACAUGGGAGACGAUUAUGGCUAACAACCUGAUGAACUAUGAUAGAGGAAGGAUGCCCCAAGCGUUCAUGCCACCGGGAUAGGGACGGCUUGCUGAUGGUGAAGGCAUGCUUGACAGAGGGUGGCGAUGGAAGAGGGUACAGCCCGCAUUGACAACGACCCCUAAGAAGAGUUUUCUUGAUUUUCGGAUCCUUAACCAAAAAGAAGUUGGGGUGAAAUUCCACGAAGGUAGAAUUAUCAGAUGUAAAGCGAUGAACGGAUACAAGAUUUUUCUUAGCUUUGGGAACAUGCAGUAUGUUGUUUAGAUGAAGAUUACGACUAGGGUAACAAUAGUAGAAUGACCAACAUGAUUAAUUGUCAUACCUGCGCCACUUGCAGUGUGGAUUUGCUCUCCGCCAUUGUACUUCUCGCGGGUUGAUAGCUUUUCUAACUCACUGGUGAUGUG
rnacentral:lncRNA from 1 species